rnacentral:sRNA from 1 species
GCUGGGUGUGGUGGUGCACACUUGUAGUCCCAGCAGCUCGGGAGGCUGAAGCUGGAGGAUCGCAGGUUCGCUAAGUUGCCAGCCUAGCAACUUAGCAAGGCUGUAAGCAACCUAGUGAGACCCUGUCUUGA